GUGAUCGUUGGUAUGGUUGGUCAUGGUGGUAGCUUCAUUCGGCUAAUUUUUGUUUGUUAUUUGUGCAUGUAGGAAAAUCUUAGUCUAUCAAAGGUUGUGUUAUGAAUAUUUCUCCAGGUGGGACAAAGUAUUGGAUGCUGAGUUAGGAAGAGGGUAUUAAUGUUAAGUAUUUUGCAGGGCUUUGGACUUGGUGAUUUAAUGUUACUUUUUGUUUCACCUUGGUCUGUAUGUUGUGAUUCACAAAUAUCUUUGGUUUAAUUUUCAAUUUGUGUGGUGCUUA